UACGUAGGGUGCGAGCGUUAAUCGGAAUUACUGGGCGUAAAGCGUGCGCAGGCGGUCUGUUAAGACCGAUGUGAAAUCCCCGGGCUUAACCUGGGAACUGCAUUGGUGACUGGCAGGCUUUGAGUGUGGCAGAGGGAGGUAGAAUUCCACGUGUAGCAGUGAAAUGCGUAGAGAUGUGGAGGAAUACCGAUGGCGAAGGCAGCCUCCUGGGCCAACACUGACGCUCAUGCACGAAAGCUGGGGGAGCAAACAGG
rnacentral:rRNA from 1 species